GUAGUCGGAUUCACAUCGAUCCACAUGUGUUGGGGUGGAUUAGAGUGAAACUUAAAUUAAAUUCCACCUCAAUCCACCCCAACACAUGUGGAUCGAUGCGAAUCCGACA
rfam:Sorghum bicolor cultivar BTx623 chromosome 9, whole genome shotgun sequence.